rnacentral:rRNA from 1 species
AUGGAGGCGGGGCUGUUCUUCGAGGCGGCGCAUCUGGAGCAGCUGGUGAGACAAGGGCUCUGGGCCUCUGCCCACCGCUACCUGCGGUGCUUCUCGGCGCUCUGGGGGGACGGGGAUGGGGACGGCGCCGCCACCCAGUACGCCACCCUCCUCAGCAGCCUCUCCCACCACUCCAUACUUGCCUGGCUGGCCUGCCGCGGCGACGAAGGCGGUCGCGCCGCAUCUUUCCUCAGGCCCUCUGAUGAGGCCAUCCGCAAGGCCUGCCCCGAGGAAGCCCGACGCAAGGUCAUGUACUGCUCCAUGACUUCCCAACAAGCCAGACCAUCCGUGAACUGGGAGGAUAUAAAGCUCGAGACCUUGACGAGGCUGCAGGAGUUGGUUGAUCUGCGUCCCAACCUGGACUGCCUGCUGAAAAAUCGAUUGCCACGACACAAGCCCACGCCGCAGGAUGUCAUUCCUCUUGGCUUACGGGGGUCUCGGAGAUACCGGAGGAAGAGAGUCAACCAUAAGCCAGCACAUGAUCUCGCGUAUUUUGUUCUACACAAGAGGCUGCCCUCUACUCAUAAGAUAAAACAGUUAGGUGAAUGA